UCCUCUGAGGGUUUGAUCCUGGCUCAGGGUGAACGCUGGCGGCGUGCCUAACACAUGCAAGUCGUGCGACGAACCUGGAGGGUUUUAUUUUCGGAUAGAACCUUCCGGGGGAAAGCGGCGAACGGGUGAGUAACACUUGAGUAACCUCCCCCUUGGACUGGGAUAAUUCGCCGAAAGGCGAACUAAUACCAGAUAACCUUUUUCAGUGGACUCAUUGGAAAAGGAAAGGUCUGUGAAUAACAGACCGCCGAGGGAUGGGCUCGAGUCCUAUCAGCUAGUUGGUAGGGUAAUGGCCUACCAAGGCGAAGACGGGUAGCUGGUCUGAGAGGACGGCCAGCCACACGGGGACUGAGACACGGCCCCGACUCCUACGGGAGGCAGCAGUGGGGAAUAUUGGACA
rnacentral:rRNA from 1 species